GAGGGUAUAGCUCAGUGGUAGAGCACGUGCUUAGCAUGCACAAGGUCCUGGGUUCAAUCCCCAGUACCACCA
rnacentral:tRNA from 1 species